CCUACGGGGAGCUGCAGUGAGGAAUAUUGGUCAAUGGGCGGAAGCCUGAACCAGCCAAGUCGCGUGAGGGAAUAAGGCCCUACGGGUCGUAAACCUCUUUUGCCGGGGAGCAAGGGCGGGGACGUGUCCCGGCACGGAGAGUACCCGGAGGAAAAGCAUCGGCUAACUCCGUGCCAGCAGCCGCGGUCAUACGGAGGAUGCGAGCGUUAGCCGGAUUUAUUGGGGUGAAAGGGUGCGUAGGCGGGCUUUUAAGGAAGGGGGAAAAAUUCGGGGCUCAAACCCGUCCGGCCGUUGAAACUGGGUGCCUUGAGUGGGCGAGAAGAAGGCGGAAUGCGUGGUGUAGCGGUGAAAUGCAUAGAUAUCACGCAGAACCCCGAUUGCGAAGGCAGCCUUCCGGCGCCCUACUGACGCUGAGGCACGAAAGUGCGGGGAUCGAACAGGAUUAGAUACCCGAGUAGUC
rnacentral:rRNA from 1 species